AACCCCUGAGCCAGCCCUGGGGGCUGGGCUCCCCGUUCGGAUGAAACGGAGUCUCCUGAACAGGAAAGCGGAUUCGCUCACAGUCGGUGGGAAGCCGGUUGCACGCGCUGUGAACCCAAAGACGAGACGAGGUCACGAUCCCUCUUUUAUAACCGAGAACACGGGCUUCGGGCUGCAAGGGCCUUGCUCAAGGUCACAGCCAAGGUGAGGCCAAACCAAGAGGAGGCAGUCCAUGAACCUGGGAGAGGGCUCUCGCCAGACACGGAGUCUUGGACACCUUCACCCUGGACAUCCAGCCUGCAGAACUAAGAG